GUAGUAUCCGUGCGUAUGUAGGUUAAAGCAUUCAUCGUCGAGCUCGAUUCGAGGCUGAUUUUUAAUAAAAGCUUGAGAAAGUAAUAAUUUACUUAUUGGAACGUAAUUAUCGAAAGUGGACGUAGUGCGCAUGCCCGGCGUAGUGUUAUCGUUUCGCCGGUAAAAACUACGCCAUCGGUUGGUUUGUGCUACAGGUAUCAACCGUGAAAUUUUAUCCAGUGACCUCGAAGAGGAUGACGCGUGGACCGGCUCGAAAGGUCGUCGAAGGUUGAUAAUAACGGGAAUCGGUUGGACGGUCCUCUCACCACUUAACUGCUGCCUACGUUUCUUUAAAUAGAGCGUAGUUCUCGGGUGACCGUGUCGGUUCCGCGAACUCGCCGGCCGAUUCCAAGUACGUCGCUAUGGAAUGUCGCUGGCUUUGCUAAUACAUUUUUGCAUUUGCUAUCUCUACCAGCACUGAACGAGAAAAGGAAGAGGAAGUGGAAGAGGAAGACUGCUCUCCCACCUUCAAUGAGCCGAUUUGCUUCAGGCGUUUCUAUCAACGCAAAUACUUACCGUCGUUGCAUGAGUUGCUUCUCUCCCUCCCUCUUGCUCUCUCUCUCUCUCUCUCUCUCUCUCUC